CCUGGCUCCGUUGAACGCUAGCUACAGGCUUAACACAUGCAAGUCGAGGGUCAGCAUCAUCAAAGCUUGCUUUGAUGGAUGGCGACCGGCGCACGGGUGAGUAACACGUAUCCAACCUGCCGACAACACUGGGAUAGCCUUUCGAAAGAAAGAUUAAUACCGGAUGGCAUAGUUUUCCCGCAUGGGAUAAUUAUUAAAGAAUUUCGGUUGUCGAUGGGGAUGCGUUCCAUUAGGCAGUUGGCGGGGUAACGGCCCACCAAACCAACGAUGGAUAGGGGUUCUGAGAGGAAGGUCCCCCACAUUGGAACUGAGACACGGUCCAAACUCCUACGGGAGGCAGCAGUGAGGAAUAUUGGUCAAUGGACGAGAGUCUGAACCAGCCAAGUAGCGUGAAGGAUGACUGCCCUAUGGGUUGUAAACUUCUUUUAUACGGGAAUAAAGUGAGCCACGUGUGCUUUUUGUAUGUACCGUAUGAUUAAGGAUCGGCUAACUCCGUGCCAGCAGCCGCGGUAAUACGGAGGAUCCGAGCGUUAUCCGGAUUUAUUGGGUUUAAAGGGAGCGUAGGCGGGUUGUUAAGUCAGUUGUGAAAGUUUGCGCUCAACCGUAAAAUUGCAGUUGAUACUGGCGACCUUGAGUGCACAGAGGUAGGCGGAAUUCGUGGUGUAGCGGUGAAAUGCUUAGAUAUCACGAAGAACUCCGAUUGCGAAGGCAGCUUACUGGAUUGUAACUGACGCUGAUGCUCGAAAGUGUGGGUAUCAAACAGGAUUAGAUACCCUGGUAGUCCACACAGUAAACGAUGAAUACUCGCUGUUGGCGAUAUACGGUCAGCGGCCAAGCGAAAGCAUUAAGUAUUCCACCUGGGGAGUACGCCGGCAACGGUGAAACUCAAAGGAAUUGACGGGGGCCCGCACAAGCGGAGGAACAUGUGGUUUAAUUCGAUGAUACGCGAGGAACCUUACCCGGGCUUAAAUUGCAACUGACGGAACCGGAAACGGUUCUUUCUUCGGACAGUUGUGAAGGUGCUGCAUGGUUGUCGUCAGCUCGUGCCGUGAGGUGUCGGCUUAAGUGCCAUAACGAGCGCAACCCUUACGGGUAGUUACCAUCAGGUUAUGCUGGGGACUCUACCCGGACUGCCGUCGUAAGAUGUGAGGAAGGUGGGGAUGACGUCAAAUCAGCACGGCCCUUACGUCCGGGGCUACACACGUGUUACAAUGGGGGGUACAGAAGGCAGCUACACGGCGACGUGGUGCUAAUCCCAAAAGCCUCUCUCAGUUCGGAUUGGAGUCUGCAACCCGACUCCAUGAAGCUGGAUUCGCUAGUAAUCGCGCAUCAGCCACGGCGCGGUGAAUACGUUCCCGGGCCUUGUACACACCG
rnacentral:rRNA from 1 species